GGCUUCCGGCUUCCGGCCGAGAGAGGGUGGGAACCCGCGGCCGUCAUGGCAGCCGAAGAGAAGGACCCGUUGAGCUACUUCGCGGCUUACGGGAGCAGCAGCUCCGACUCGUCGGAUGAGAACAGCGAGCCGGAAGACGCGGGUCGCAAGGAGGCGGCCUCGGCUCCGACGACGGGCGGCCGCGGGAAGCAGGCGGAGAAGCGGCUGCCCGGCCCGGACGAGCUGUUCCGCAGCGUGACCCGCCCGGCCUUCCUCUACAACCCGCUCAACAAGCAGAUCGACUGGGAGCGGCAUGUGGUGAAAGCGCCGGAGGAGCUUCUCCCCGAGACCCCUUCCCUUUGACGCCGAAGUGCCUGCGCUGCUGCCUCCAAGACAGCGUCUCUGCUGCAGCCUCCUGAAGGGGUCAGCCUGGCCGUAGUAUCUGGGACUGCAUCCUCCUUUGCCUCCAAAGGAGUUCAAGAUCUGGAAGUCCAACUGCGUGCCGCCCCCAGAGACCUACACUACUGAGAAGAAGCCGCCGCCGCCAGAGCUGGACAUGGCGAUCAAAUGGUCGAAUAUCUAUGAAGACAAUGGAGACGAUGCCCCACAGAACGCCAAGAAAGCCAGGCUUCUGCCUGAAGGGGAGGAGACAGUGGAAUCAGAGAACUAAGAAAGCUCUCUUCUUUCCCUCUUCAAGAUGAUGACAAAGAUGAGCGGGCAUCUAAGAUUCGCAGAGUGGAGCCAGGAGAAGCAGCCAAGAAGAAGAAGUAGAGAAUUGUGACUCCUGAGAUGUGUCGUUGAGUGGAGUGUUUGCUUUUGUGCGUUACUAUGACAGACAUCUCCAUGAACGUAUUUAUGUUAACGAACUAAUGAGUGUCGCCUCAAGACUUUCCACUGUAGAAUUCACUUUUUUUAUUUAAAACCUGUACGUAUUUACAACUCUAAUGGUGACCUGUGAUUGUGAACUGACAGUACUUGGAAGCAUUCUGGUUAUCACAAAAUUGGUGACAGGCUUUGAGAGUUUGUCACAUGGACAUGCCAAUGUUCUAUGAACCUUUUAUAAAGGAAUAUAUUUUUAAAGUAAAUAUAUUGUAUUGUACUGUGAACUUGUGGGUGCUUUUCAUUAGUAUCUGUACAGUGUAAAUAGAUGAUCAUGGAAAUAAAAUUACUUAAUCCAACCUUGUUAUUACUGAAUGCCACUAACAUAAGUAUUUGUGACAGGCAGCCUGCUUGCCCUGUGACGUUUUGAUUCACAGUGGGGAUUAGCAUGUAGGGAGAGCCUCCCAUGCUCGGGUGCCUUGUGCAUACUUCUCUCCUACAGUCCUGGGAGGAAAGCAGACGUGAGCGUCCUCAGGUUUGUGGUGAGAGCUUGAGGAACUGGGCAGAGGGGUACACAGCAGUGAGUGAAGAGGAGCGGUCACGCAGGACUGACUCCAGUCAGAUGAAGCCACCUGUCACUCGUCAGACUUCAGUCGUUUGCCAAGAACAUUAUCAUCUCUGCCAUGUGCACUUGUAUUAGGGAGGUCUCCUACUCUGAUUCUGCAGCUGCACUGAUAAAUGCCUUAUAGUGUGAGUAUAAGUAUUCAUUUCUUCAUUAGGUAGACUGAAGAUGAGGCUCCUCUGUGAAAGAUGAGCAAAUUCAGAAAAGAACAUAAGGUAACCAGUUAAAUUUGAGUCUGUCUGAGUAUAUGUGAUAUAAGAGACACAUUAAAAACCAUCUGAAAUUCUAA